rnacentral:piRNA from 1 species
UCCACACAGGGACCCAUUCAGGGACAAGAGU